rnacentral:rRNA from 1 species
GCGCACUGCCCGUCUUUCGCCGACCGGCUCUACAACACCACCGGCGAGAACGGUGCCUAUGGCGUCGUCGACCCGUCUCUGGACAGCGAGUACGCCGACAAGCUAAGGCUCAAGUGCAAGAGCGUUGAUGACCGUACUAUGCUGUCGGAGAUGGACCCCGGGAGCUUCAAGACCUUCGACACCAGCUACUACCGCCACGUCGCCAAGCGGAGGGGCCUCUUCCGCUCCGACUCCGCGCUCCUCUUGGACGCCACCACCAUGGACUAUGUCCAGCGUAUCGCCACCGGCAAGUUCGACAGCGAGUUCUUCAGGGACUUCAGCGAGUCCAUGAUCAAGAUGGGCGAUGUCGGCGUGCUCACAGGGGCCGGGGGAGAGAUCAGGAAGAAGUGCUACGCUCCGAACUAG